AAAAGUGAUAUUAGAAGUCCGGCUAGCCACCAUCAGACAUGACCGAAGCGAAUGAUGAGAACAGCAACAAUACGCCACAACGUCAGGUGAGUUAGUCAUUUCUAGUUUUGUGAUGUUAUGUUUUUCGGUGCAUUUGAUGAAACCUGCUGUUAUCCGACCGUUUCGGAAAAAAUGACGUUCGCUAGCUAGCCGGAGAUAUAGCUAUAACUUAAGCUAACCUACCGGCUAACAUUAAUGUUGUUAUUGUAGCAAGCAUGGCUUACUUUUGUAAAUGAAAAACUGUACCUUAUGUUUUGUCAUUUUUAUGUCUUAACAUGUUAAAUGAUAUAGGGUCAUGGUGCAGUUGAGUCAGCAGCCCGAAAUGUGGUGUCUGUGUUGCUAAACAGUAUGGCCACUAACUGCCCAACACGGCCGUCAGAGACGGAGCUCCCUAGAACUGUGCAGCAAGAAAUGACAAGAUCCUUUCCAGGAUAUUUCAAAUCGAAUUUCAGUCGUGGUAAAAAAGAGGUGUUUGACUGCCACUAAGCACCUUAAGACCCGCAAAACAACGGCUCUUAAUUUUUAUCUUCUGCCAAAAAGUACAUUACAUACACCGUUGCCAACUGAGGAGCUUGAACUCCUCCAGGCGGGUAUGGGAAGACAAACUGUGUCUCUUCCUGAAGAUAGUGACCACACAGAGAUUUCAAAGCUUCUGACGAACGCAUUUCCAAAAAUGGAGGAUCUUUGUGGGGGAUGGCUUUUGCAUAAGGCAACAGGUCUGUAAGACUAAGAUUGUUUUGUUGAAUUAUCAUAUUUAUGCUUUUUUUGAUAACUCUGGAAACUCUUGGUGUUCUCUCAAUGAGCUCCAUGAGGCAGUCACCUGAAAUGGUUUGCACUUCACAUGUGUGCUUUGUCAGGGUUAAUUAGUGGAAUUGUUUCCCUUAUUAAUAAAAAAGCAAAGGGUGGCUACUUUGAAAAAUCUAA